rnacentral:tRNA from 1 species
GUAGGCAUAGUUUAAUGAAAAUACUAGAUUGUGAUUCUAGUGAUAAAGGUUAAAACCCCUUUGCCCACC